GACGAACGCUGGCGGUGUGCUUAACACAUGCAAGUGGAGCGACGAACCAGGGCUUGCCCUGGGGCAGAGCCGCGAACGGGUGAGUAACACGUGGGUAACGUACCCCGAUGACCGGGACAACCCGAGGAAACUCGGGCUAAUACCGGAUGUGUCCGCCUCUCAUGAGAGAGACGUGCAAAGGAAGCUUCGGCCUCCGCAUCGGGAGCGGCCCGCGGCCCAUUAGCUUGUUGGUGGGGUAACGGCCUACCAAGGCUGCGAUGGGUAGCUGGUCUGAGAGGACGAUCAGCCACACUGGGACUGAGACACGGCCCAGACUCCUACGGGAGGCAGCAGUGGGGAAUCUUGCGCAAUGCGCGAAAGCGUGACGCAGCAACACCGCGUGAGGGAAGACGGCCUUCGGGUUGUAAACCUCUUUCAGGAGGGACGAAGGACGGCCGGUGAAUAGCCGUGUCGUCUGACGGUACCUCCAGAAGAAGCUCCGGCUAACUACGUGCCAGCAGCCGCCGUAAAAC
rnacentral:rRNA from 1 species